GACGAACGCUGGCGGCGUGCUUAACACAUGCAAGUCGAACGGAAAGGCCCUGCUUUUGUGGGGUGCUCGAGUGGCGAACGGGUGAGUAACACGUGAGUAACCUGCCCUUGACUUUGGGAUAACUUCAGGAAAAUGGGGCUAAUACCGGAUAGGAGCUCCUGCUGCAUGGUGGGGGUUGGAAAGUUUCGGCGGUUGGGGAUGGACUCGCGGCUUAUCAGCUUGUUGGUGGGGUAGUGGCUUACCAAGGCUUCGACGGGUAGCCGGCCUGAGAGGGUGACCGGCGACAUGGGGACUGAGAUACGGCCCAGACUCCUACGGGAGGCAGCAGUGGGGAAUAUUGCACAAUGGGCGGAAGCCUGAUGUAGCAACGCCGCGUGCGGGAUGACGGGUUUCGGGUUGUAAACCGAUUUGGCCUGUGAUGAGGCGUGAUUGACGGUAAUGGGUAAAGAAGCACCGGCUAACUACGUG
rnacentral:rRNA from 1 species